rnacentral:rRNA from 1 species
CGAAAGCCUGACGGAGCAACGCCGCGUGAGGGAUGAAGGCCUUUGGGCUGUAAACCUCUUUUCUCAAGGAAGAAGAUCUGACGGUACUUGAGGAAUAAGCCACGGCUAAUUCCGUGCCAGCAGCCGCGGUAAUACGGGAGUGGCAAGCGUUAUCCGGAAUUAUUGGGCGUAAAGCGUCCGCAGGCGGCCGUUUAAGUCUGUUGUUAAAUCGUGGAGCUCAACUCCAUCACGGCAAUGGAAACUGUUCGGCUUGAGUGUGGUAGGGGCAGAGGGAAUUUCCGGUGUAGCGGUGAAAUGCGUAGAUAUCGGGAAGAACACCAGUGGCGAAAGCGCUCUGCUAGGCCAUUACUGACGCUCAUGGACGAAAGCCAGGGGAGCGAAAGGGAUUAGAUACCCCUGUAGUCCUGGCCGUAAACGAUGAACACUAGAUGUUGGGGGAAUCGACCCCCUCGGUGUCGUAGCUAACGCGUUAAGUGUUCCGCCUGGGGAGUACGCACGCAAGUGUGAAACUCAAAGGAAUUGACGGGGGCCCGCACAAGCGGUGGAGUAUGUGGUUUAAUUCGAUGCAACGCGAAGAACCUUACCAAGGCUUGACAUCCUGCGAAUCUCCAAGAAAUUGGAGAGUGCCUUCGGGAACGCAGUGACAGGUGGUGCAUGGCUGUCGUCAGCUCGUGUCGUGAGAUGUUGGGUUAAGUCCCGCAACGAGCGCAACCCACGUUUUUAGUUGCCAGCAUUCAGUUGGGCACUCUAGAAAGACUGCCGGUGACAAACCGGAGGAAGGUGUGGACGACGUCAAGUCAUCAUGCCCCUUACGCCUUGGGCUACACACGUACUACAAUGCUGCGGACAAAGAGUAGCGAUCUUGCAAAAGUUAGCUAAUCUCGUAAACCGUGGCUCAGUUCAGAUCGUAGGCUGCAACUCGCCUACGUGAAGUAGGAAUCGCUAGUAAUCGCAGGUCAGCAUACUGCGGUGAAUACGUUCCCGGGCCUUGUACACACCGCCCGUCACACCAUGGAAGUUGGCCAUGCCCGAAGUCGUUACUCUAACCUUUUGGAAGAGGGCGCCGAAGGCAGGGCUAAUGACUGGGGUGAAGUCGUAACAAGGUAGCCGUAGCGGAAGCUGCGGCUGGAUCACCUCCUAA